rnacentral:rRNA from 1 species
UACGUAGGGUGCGAGCGUUGUCCGGAAUUAUUGGGCGUAAAGGGCUCGUAGGCGGUUUGUCGCGUCGGGAGUGAAAACCUCGGGCUUAACUCGGGGCUUGCUUUCGAUACGGGCAGACUGGAGGUAUGCAAGGGAGAACGGAAUUCCUGGUGUAGCGGUGAAAUGCGCAGAUAUCAGGAAGAACACCCGUGGCGAAGGCGGCUCUCUGGGACGGUACUGACGCUGAGACGCGAAAGCGUGGGGAGCGAACAGG